rnacentral:sRNA from 2 species
CGUCGUCUCUGACGACCACCAAUGAUUCACUGGCCUGAGAGAAUCGCCUUCGGGUGGCUGAACAUAACACUCCUGUAGCCUGCAAGGGAGAACACAUCAGUGUGGUAAAUCUGCUCACCUUUGGAAGCAGAUAUCGUCAAUUACGGCUCCU